rnacentral:tRNA from 1 species
GGAGGGGUGUCCGGAACCCGGGAACGGAGCGGUCUCGAAAACCGCCGGGCCGUGCGGCCCUUGUGGGUUCAAAUCCCACCCCCUCCGCCA